AUGGCGCGAACGGAACAUUCUUAUCCGCUAGAACAUUUAGUUUUAUUUCAAAAUCUCUUAAACUUCUCCUUUUACCCUUUACCAGUAUUUAUCACCAAUUUAUACCACCAAAACCAACCCCGCUUCAAUAUCACUCAUAUCGUUAUACCAUCCAUCUCAAAAUGAAAACAAUUUACUGACAUUUUGCCGUCUUUAUUGGGAUUUGACCGAAAUUAUACUAUAUAUAAAAGAUUGGCGUUACUGUUCAUUCGUGGGCGACGGCUCUGCCACUGACCUAUUUUUUCCCCUCUUCCUCCCAGACUGAGGCUUUUUGCUCUCCUUUCUUCUUUCUGCGUCCUAAACCGCCUUCUUCACUCCCUCAGACAGCCACCUCCUCAACACCCUCUUCAACCGCGUCUUCAUCGGAGAUUCCAAUUCCGGGUCGGGUUUUGUCUCCACAAGCCGGUCUAUUUCAGUCACCAACAACAAAAGCUCACCUCCAAACUCACCCUCUCCUCACAACACAGCAAGAGUUUUCACCACUGCUUCAAGCUAUAGCUUCAGCAUCAAGAAAAUGGGAACUCACUUGAUUUGUUCUGCUGGAGGUCCUAUGUUCUGUAUGUAUAAUGGUUUUAGCUAUUUAUACUUUUUGAUUCCUUGAAGAAUUAAUCAUGGUUGGGAUCCCUGAUCAGCAGAAUAAUUGGAAAUUUGAAACUUUCAAUUUCAAAUAUUCGCAUCAGAUAUGAGGAUGUUGAGAGCAGGCAUGACCUUGGAGAGACUUUCAGCCAUGACGAUUGAUGAUAGUGAAAAGAGACAUUAGAGCUGCUUUAAGAAGGUUAUACUUAUAUAAGAAUCAAGUUGCUAAACGGCGGAUCUCAAUUACACUUCAGUUCUAUAGUCAACCCCCCCCCCCCCCCCCCCCGCAACUGGCUCAAAGACAGGUUAAUUGAUACCAACAGCGAAAAUUCUCUGUGUGGCUGUUGUCUUUCUAGCAGAAGGUUUUAUUACUUCAAACAACAAUCAUAAAAAAGGCAAUGAUGUACUUUUGGCGCUGAUGAAGCAGUUAUGCGACACCAAUGAAAUUCAUGCAUCAUCAGUUUUGAAGAUCCGAUAUGCAGAAAUGGAAUCCAUAAGAGUAUAUCUCUUACUUUCUCUUCUCCAAUGAGUGGUGUGAAUGAACAAAUAGCUUGGUUGUUUGAUUUGAUUUGGAUACAGAAUGUAAAAUUUGAAUACUGUAUAUCAAGGCUAGGACUAGGUGACAAACAAUUGUGUCUAAGAAGACUGUACAAGGAAUGCUUUCAUGUAAAUUUUUAAUUACUUCAACAUUGAGAUGCAGGUUGUAAGUGUAUAGUGUCUCAUAUUGAACAGAAAUGACCAUUAACUAGAUUCCAACUUUCUAGAA